rnacentral:rRNA from 1 species
GGACGAACGCUGGCGGCGUGCUUAACACAUGCAAGUCGAGCGGUAAGGCCCUUUCGGGGGUACACGAGCGGCGAACGGGUGAGUAACACGUGGGUGACCUGCCCUCAGCUCUGGGAUAAGCCUGGGAAACCGGGUCUAAUACUGGAUAUGACUCCAUGACGCAUGUUGUGGGGUGGAAAGCCUUGUGCGGCUGAGGAUGGGCCCGCGGCCUAUCAGCUUGUUGGUGGGGUGAGGCCUACCAAGGCGACGACGGGUAGCCGGCCUGAGAGGGCGACCGGCCACACUGGGACUGAGACACGGCCCAGACUCCUACGGGAGGCAGCAGUGGGGAAUCUUGCGCAAGUGGGCGAAAGCCUGACGCAGCGACGCCGCGUGAGGAUGACGGCCUCGG